GUAUAUUGUACAACACAGGGAAUAUAGCCAAUAUUUUUAAAAAACUGUAAAUAGAAUAUAACCCUUAAAUACUGUUCAUCACUAUGUCCUAUACCUGAAACUUAUGUUGUACAUCAGCUAUACCUCAAUAAAGAAGAAAGAAUUAGUGAAUCAAUGAACAAAGAGUCGACCCUGGUAUGUUUACAAGAAUUUCAUUCAUGGAUUCAUAAAAUGCCUCAACUGAGAGUUCUAUGAAAUACUUCAGUCUGAUUUCCAUUGAACUGCUCUACCUCUGCCUAUGGCAUACUUGAUAGCUACUCUGCUUAAAACAAGAACUUUAUGCAAUAGCCCCUUUCACUCAGGAUAGCCUUCUUAGUCCCUUAUUCAGUGCAUAUUGAUUUCCAUAUGUUCAUCUGGAUUUGAGUCCUUAGGAGACUUAAGCAUUUAAUUAGAAUGAAAGGGAGGGGCAGUCACAGAGACAGGAGCAAGAUGGGAGAUCUCAUAGUUUGACAGUGAAAGAAGCAAGACCCCCUAAAGCUCAUGUGAAAAAAAAACCUGGAGACUGCACCUACCUAGUUAAGGGGCAAGAUGUACUUCAGUAACUGAAGAGAAAGAAAAGUACUUCUGGAGAAAAAAAGUACUGCUAGGAAUGCAGCCAAUGCUAUUGAACUAGUCUAGGUUCAAUUCACUUUACUUGAAUGACCUCAGGUCACUUCUGUAAGCUCCAAAUUUCUUACUUGUAUAAUAGAGAAAUAAACUCUCUUCAGAGAGAUAUUGUAAAGAUUGAUAUAAUCUUUGUGAAAUAUUUGACAUGUAUUGACAUGGCUCUAUAUAUUGACAUGGAGUAAAUCUUCAAUAAAUGUGAGCUCCUCAUAGUACAAAAAUUACCUUCUUUGUGAUGGCCUUAUAAGUAAAAGGAUAAAUUCCGUGUGGUAAAUUUUAUGACCAUAAAACACUGUUACUCUUUAAACAUUGAAUAUAAAAUAAAUAAAACUUCAAACAUCCAAACGACCUGGCACAAUUCAUACCAAUUCUAAAAAAAUUUUUAUUUUUAUAACAUUUUAUAUUUCACAAAACCCUUUCAUGGAUAUUGUCUUAUUUGAUGAUUCACAGCUGCUCAUUCACUGAAUAAUGUAAGGCUUUAGCAAUAAUGUUUUGUAAUAAGAGUUACCUGUAUUCCAGUUCAAGAGCCAGCUGCAUCAAUUCAGUCUUAAUGUUUUGUUUGGCCAAAUCAGAUUUCCUAUGCCAGAAAGUACAGAGCCAAUUUGUUCUCUUGAAAGCUCAAAUAUUAAGGGUAGGGAAGAAAAGUCUUUAUCUCAAAAAGGCAGCUUGAGGUGUCAGUUAAAUUCGUUGCCACCCACAGAUACUUAACCUGGAGAAAUCAGAAAUAAUGGAGGAUUAAAGAUUAUGCGCCUACAGUAAUUUUGGAAAAUGAAGGAGUCCCUCAGGUAGAAACAUGAUCCAUUAGCCCCAAACUUUUCAAGUUACAGCCUAUAAAUAUUUGAAGUGUUUAACUUCUAAGGAGGCAAAGAAAUUAUUCAACCCAGUGCAAGGAGAGGUGAUGAGGAGUAAUGGGAUGACAUUAACAAAGGGAACAUUUCCUCAACAGGGAGACUAGGUAAUGCAAAGACUGCACUUAAAACUGAGACUCUUUGGCUUAGAAGAGUUAAAACAAGUUGGUACUUGAUGGAGGGAGCUGAUGGCAGAGUUUCACUUUAAGUUCUUGUGAUUUGUGACCUGCUCAGAGUACACCGAGUGAUUUAAUGGUACAUUCAACACCUAUUAAAUUGGUUUGAGUGAACUGAUAUAAAGAAGAGUCAUAGUAGGUAGAAAUGUUGAUGAUUUCCUGGCAUGUUGACAUCUAGUUUUGCUGUUUUUCUUACUCAACACCACCUAAAGAAUUCAUCUUAUUUUGCCACUUUUAUCUGGCAAAACAAGAUAUCUAAACAAGGGAAGGAAAAGACAAGAGGUAGUGGCAGUGGGUGGGAGGAGAGAGAAAGGUAGGUGUUAAGCUAAUUCCACAUGUGCAAUCAAUUGAUGAAAUAAACAUUGUCCUGAACAGCCAGCACUAAGGCCAGGUACUUAUUUCUACAUACAGAGUGUUUUCCAGUUCUCUUGGCUGAAUCUUUGCCUGUAAACCUACCUUCCAUAUUAGUAAAUUCAGGGAGAGGAGAAAAAAAGAAAAAGAUCACCAGGGUCAAGAUAUUUCUGUCCUCUAAUUUAUCAAUCUUGAAGUUCAUAUUGGGGCUUUCAAAUAUUUAGAUAUUAUAAAUGCAGUCUUUAAAUAAUAUGUUUCCCUUAUGAUUCCAUUAUGAUUCCCAUCACAAUGAACCUCAGGUACCCAGAACAGGCAAAGUCAUAGAGACAAAAAUAUAAUAGAGAGGUUACAGGGGCUGAGGGGAGGGGAAAUGGGGAAUUUUUGGUUUUGGUCACAGAGUUUCUGUUUGGGAUAAUUUCUGAAGAAGGAAGGUAGUGAUAUUUGCACAACGCUGAGAAUGUGCUUAAUGCCACUGAACUGCAUACUUAAAGUGGUGAAAACGGUCAGUUUUAUGUUAUAUAUGUCUUACCAAAAAGCAAGUUAUUUUUUACUUUGAAAGUUAACUGAAGUCAAGGGAUUAAUAUUGGCUGAUUUCCUAGCUAUAGGAUUUUUUUUUUCAAGCCACAUUUGUUUUUCAAAUUCUCUAGAUAUCCAAAUCAUUCCCUAAUUCCUUCUCUUCCCAUUACCCCUACUAGUAACUUUCUAAAACUUAAACUUAAAAGUUAUACUCUAACAUUUAUUGUAGCCAUAUAUUGAUUUAAAAUUUGUGGUGUAUUAUAAUUUAUGAUAAAGUAAAAUUAAUUCAUUUGCUAAUUCAUGCAAUGAACAUAUUUAAGUAUAUAUUAGUCAAGAUAGUGAAAUAAAGGAUGUUGGUAUGAUGCAAAUUAUUAGUAAUAUUACUCUCUAUUCUUAAUGAGCUUAAUAUCUAUAUGAAAGAUAUGUAAGCCAACAAUUGAAAAAUAUGUUGAAGACACUACACAUGUAUAUAAAAUCUUACAUUUAAAUAUUUUUACAGUUUGGCACUCAUUUGCAUAAAAGAGGAAGAUUUGUUUUAAGAGUGAGUCUUCAUGAAGAAAUGAAAUUUUAUCUAAGCCGUAGAAAAUAGUAGUUACAUUUAUUCCCUUUUUAUGCAUUAUAUAGACUUUAUAUAACCAUGCACGAUUUAAAAUUUUAAAGGAUUAUAGAUGUUGUAAUUUGAAAAGGAGCCAUGAGAUUUGGAAGCAGACCUAGAUUUAAUUUCUAAGUCUACUGAUUAUAACUAUGUGAUUAAGGGUAAGUUACUCAAAUUCUUGGAGUUUCAUUGUUUUUUUUCCCCAGAAAAAGAAGGCAGUAACUCCUUGCUGGUCAUGUAUUGAUGACUGAGAUAGCAUAUGUAAAGCACUCAGAUGUAGCAGCUGCUCAAUAAAUAUUAGCUGUCUUCUCUAGCUGUGGUUGUUGUAGUUUAGACUGCUAUGACAUCAUGCUGAUUGAAUCUAUGAUUUACUUGGUGUGAUCCCUGGGUCUGGCACACCAAUCCCAAUUAUAAAAUUGUUCCUAUCUGAAAAUAUAACUUGGCUCUCAAUGAUCUGUGUUUGAUAAUCCUCUCUGGUGUGGUUUCCAGGAACACGGCUUGAUGAAAAACAAGGACUGUCUUAUAUGAGGGUGUGUGAAUACAUAUAUUCAUAUAUAAAAUAUAUAUUUGUACUAUUUUCAAGUACUUUAAGUAACACAGUCUAGUGUCUUGCAACGUGUUAAGAGAACAGGGUUCCUACCAGAUGUGUUUGAAUGACUGGCUAUCAAUCAUUUGUAAUUAGCACACUGUAUGUAAAUUUAUGCAACUUAAGUGCUUGAAAACAAUUUAUUCUUAUAAGUAGAUUAAAUUGUCCUUUUUACAAUCCUGUUUACACUGGUAAUUUACUUAACAGACCCUCAUUUCAUUGAUGGUAAACUUUACCCCUGCCCAAGUUCAAAUUCUCUCAUUUUGGCUAAAUGCCAUCUGAAUUCAUGAGGUUUUUACUAAGAAGUAAAAAAAAAAGGUGGAGUACCAAAUUCCAUCAAUCAAGUGCUGGCUGUCAGUGACAGGAAAUUGGCACACGCACAAGGACCCCUGACCAGAUGGUAGACAUCUGUGCUUUUCGCAUUGACAGGGCCAGGUCAACAGAUAGGCCUCAAAGAGUCAGGGCCCCAUAAGUGGAGGGCACCUUGGGGCUGUUAAAACAUUUGGGUUCUGAGCACCAAAGAAGCUGACACCUGGGGAUGCCUUGAGCUUUUAUUAUUAUUAUGUCAUAGAAUUUAGGACAGGAGCCAAGCUUGAUCUCCUUGAGUUCCUAAAACUGGGUUGGUACCUGCAUCUUCAGAAGGUAGAGAAAGAUACAAAGGAACAAUGUACCAGAAGAAUGUUCUGUUAGAAAGUGUCUUGGGAGGGAGCCUGAGGGACUUUGGCUCUAACCUGAGGUGUGAACUUGGGCUACUUCAGAGAUUUGGAUGUUAAUUUCUCCUCACAAAAUGCACAAAGUAUGUUUUCUGCUUUCCCUAAUUUCCAGGGAUACUUCGAGGGCCUCAUAUGCUGAAGAAUGUGAACAUAUUUCUUGAAUCCAGAGAGAACAGGAGAAAGUACUGCACCACAAUCCCAUUCGUCUACUUGAAUCCUUGCUACCCUUCAUGACAAAAUUAAGUAUUUUAUCCUCCAUGAAAACCAUCCUAUUCUUGCCACCCAGCUAAUGCUUUCCAAGUCUGGAGUGCUAGAACCUCUAAGAUCUAACAGGGUCUCACACUAUUCAAGACACCAUUCUGAACUGUAAGGAAUUUGAAUGCAGGAGCCGUAUCUUUUCAUUCUCUUUCACAAGAAGAUGCUAAAUAAAAAUGUGUUAACUGAUUCAUAGCUCUGACAUUUCCACUCAUAUUCACAGCCCACUAGGCUGCAGUACUUUUCCCUCAAAUCUCUGGCUGAAAUCCUAUUAAAAGGACAAGCAGGAUAUUUCCAUUCUGGGGCCUUGUCAGUAAGCAUCCAGCCCUGCCAAUGCCCACAGAUGAAUCCCUGCCUCUUCUGUUCUGUGAAAGUGGAGGGAAUCCAUCACAGCCACUUGUACUCUGAGAAAGUCUUCAUUUGAGCUU
rnacentral:lncRNA from 1 species